rnacentral:lncRNA from 1 species
GUCCAAUCGAAACUAUUGUUGAAUUAAUGAAAUAACGAAAAUUUAAAUCAUCAAAAGGUUCAUCAAAUUCCUAAUGAAAAAAAACCCUAGCCUAUAAUCAUCAUUACAAAAUCAAGAAAUUGAAAAAUGAAAUUAAAAGAUAAUAAGAAUACACCCGUAUGGAAUUUCUUCAAUCCGUGUGUAUAAUCUUCAAUCCCGUCUCGAGCCCGUGUGAAAUUGAAUCCAAAAUCAAGUUUCUUGCCUCCAAUUUUGGUCUCUCCCUUCUCCCUGGUCGUUCCUCUCCUUAAUAUGAUGAUUUUGAAUAUUUAUAUCGCGUCCAAAUUAAGUAGGGAAGGAGUUUCAACCAAAACGAAAAACUACGCCCGAAAUUUCAAAAUUAACUAUGCGACCGCAUAGAAGGGAUCUAUGCGGUCGCAUAGAUCAUUUUUUUCUCUCAUUUAAUUCCCUGAAACCUUCUAUGCGACCGCAUAGAAGGUUACACUAUGCGGUCGCAUAGAAGUAGCCAUCUAUGUGGUUUGUGCAAUUUGGUCCCUGAACUUCUUUGUUGCUUCUCUUGACUUCUUUCUUCGAUUUCUUCAUCUUUUCAACAAUUCUUAUCUUCCAAUUGAUGAUCGACACUUUCAAAUAUUAUGCCACUCAUUCGGCACAUCUUUUGAGUAUUUGCACUUUAGUCCUCCAACUUUCAAUUAUCUUCAUUUUAGUCCAUCUUCCAUUCUUUCUUCCUCCACUUGUUUUGCUUUGUCAUUGAGCUCAUACUCGGCAUGUUUUUACUCUCGUUCUGCAUUUAGCUCAACUUCUCAAUAAUUGCACUGUUGGUCCUCGAACUAUCAAAUUGUUGCGUUUUGGUCCUUCUUCGGCUCUUUUCUCCUGAAUUCCACAAUUUCCAUUGAAUUACCUACAAUGCAUGAAUUUAACUGGAUUAAGUCACAAUUCAACCAUUUUAUCCAUGUUUAAGUCAUGUUUGUGAACCAAAUAAGUGUGUAAAAACACACUUAUCAAAUCCCCCAAACUUAAACUAUUG